GAAACAUUUGAAGUGACUUAGUGGCGGACGGGUGAGUAACGCGUGGGUAACCUGCCCUGUACUGGGGGACAACAGUUGGAAACGGCUGCUAAUACCGCAUAAGCGCACAGCAUCGCAUGGUGCAGUGUGAAAAACUCCGGUGGUACAGGAUGGACCCGCGUCUGAUUAGCUAGUUGGUGGGGUAACGGCCUACCAAGGCGACGAUCAGUAGCCGGCCUGAGAGGGUGAACGGCCACAUUGGGACUGAGACACGGCCCAGACUCCUACGGGAGGCAGCAGUGGGGAAUAUUGCACAAUGGGCGCAAGCCUGAUGCAGCGACGCCGCGUGAGUGAUGAAGUAUUUCGGUAUGUAAAGCUCUAUCAGCAGGGAAGAAAAUGACGGUACCUGACUAAGAAGCACCGGCUAAAUACGUGCCAGCAGCCGCGGUAAUACGUAUGGUGCAAGCGUUAUCCGGAUUUACUGGGUGUAAAGGGAGCGUAGGCGGCAUGGCAAGUCAGAUGUGAAAGCCCGGGGCCCAACCCCGGAACUGCAUUUGAAACUGUCAGGCUAGAGUACCGGAGAGGUAAGCGGAAUUCCUAGUGUAGCGGUGAAAUGCGUAGAUAUUAGGAGGAACACCAGUGGCGAAGGCGGCUUACUGGACGGUAACUGACGCUGAGCUCGAAAAGCGUGGGGAGCAAAACAGGAUUAGAUACCCUGGU
rnacentral:rRNA from 1 species